rnacentral:rRNA from 1 species
GAUGAACGCUGGCGGCGUGCCUAAUACAUGCAAGUCGAGCGAACAGACGAGGAGCUUGCUCCUCUGACGUUAGCGGCGGACGGGUGAGUAACACGUGGAUAACCUACCUAUAAGACUGGGAUAAAUUCGGGAAACCGGAGCUAAUACCGGAUAACAUGUUGAACCGCAUGGUUCAACAGUGAAAGACGGUUUUGCUGUCACUUAUAGAUGGAUCCGCGUUGCAUUAGCUAGUUGGUAAGGUAACGGCUUACCAAGGCAACGAUGCGUAGCCGACCUGAGAGGGUGAUCGGCCACACUGGAACUGAGACACGGUCCAGACUCCUACGGGAGGCAGCAGUAGGGAAUCUUCCGCAAUGGGCGAAAGCCUGACGGAGCAACGCCGCGUGAGUGAAGAAGGUCUUCGGAUCGUAAAACUCUGUUAUUAGGGAAGAACAAAUGUGUAAGUAACUAUGCACGUCUUGACGGUACCUAAUCAGAAAGCCACGGCUAACUACGCG